rnacentral:rRNA from 1 species
UGCUCAUUGACAUACCUCAGAACUUUCUAGAAGAUGCAUUGGUGCCUUCGGGAACACAGUGACAGGUGCUGCAUGGCUGUCGUCAGCUCGUGUUGUGAAAUGUUGGGUUAAGUCCCGUAACGAGCGCAACCCUUGUCCCUAUUUGCCAGCGAUUCGUGCGGAAACUCUCGGGGAACCGGCGGGGGCCAACCGGAAGAAGGGGGGGACAACCCUCAGGCAUCAUGGGCCUUACCGGCAAGGCUACCCACGUGCUACAAUGGGGGG